rnacentral:lncRNA from 1 species
AAAACACUGCGUUAUUUGCGAAGCCGCAACAAUGUAAAUCUUUUCGUGCAGCGAGUUGCCUGUAUGUUUAAACGCGUGUAGGUCAAUGUACAGUACGAACGGCAGCAGGAGAGAAAAAGAAACGGAAGAUACGCAUCGCUGGAUAUUAUAGGUGUUAAAAGAUUUAAUGCUAUGAUAGGCAGCCUGUAGGCCAACCGUCCUGAUUGUGGUCACGUUCCCGCUUUCUGUAAUGGUUGACUGGAAGGAAUGGACCACAUAGAGAGCUAGUCAUGAAGACCCGAACCAACAAAGAAUCGAUGCCCGCUCGCAGUGGACGCAGGAGGGGGGGCAGUGAGGAAAGGAGGGGUAGACGUCCGCACCCCAGCCCGUCCCGAGCAGAGCGCAACGAAAGGCAAACGG